AUAACUUUGACGGAAUCCUGUCAUUUGUCCACGUGAACAAAAAUCACUGGAACAUGCUGUACAUUCAUGCAAAGUCUGGUACUGUGUACCAAAUGGAUCCCUCACCAGCAUCCUCUGAGCUUGAGGACUCUACCCAUGCGGCUCAGAGACUACAGGAAUACUUGAAGAUGAG